UUAGGUGACUAUUGCGGCGGGGUUCCACCUCUUCCCAUUCCGAACAGAGAAGUUAAGACCGCCAGCGCCGAUGGUACUGCACAACAGUUGUGGGAGAGUAGGUCGUCGCCAUUC
rnacentral:rRNA from 1 species